UGGAUGAAAGCCAAAGAGAGGCAUCUAACUGUUAAUUAGGAAACUGUGAUAAUCACUCAUUCAGC
rnacentral:tRNA from 1 species